rnacentral:rRNA from 1 species
AUUGAACGCUGGCGGCAGGCCUAACACAUGCAAGUCGAACGAGUGGCGGACGGGUGAGUAAUGUCUGGGAAACUGCCCGAUGGAGGGGGAUAACUACUGGAAACGGUAGCUAAUACCGCAUACCAUCGGAUGUGCCCAGAUGGGAUUGGCUUGUAGGUGAGGUAACGGCUCACCUAGGAGACGAUCCCUAGCUGGUCUGCGAGGAUUACCAGCAACACUGGAACUGAGACACGGUCCAGACUCCGACGUGAGGCAGCAGUGGGGAAGAUUGCAAAAUGGGCGGAAGCCUGAUGCAGCCAUGCCGCGUGUAUGAAGAAGGCUUUCGGUUUUUAAAGUACUUUCAGCGGGGCGGCGUUACCCGCAGAAGAAGCACCGGCUAACUCCGUGCCAGCAGCCGCGGUAAUUC